AGAAAGGAAUAGGAGAUGUUUUCAGGGGGUGUCAACACCUUUAGGUCUUUUGAAAAGCAAGGUGUAUUGCCAAUUUGGAUCUAUGGAAAGGUUGACAGAGGAUCAAGAAGAUCUGGAACAUGGUACCAGCUUGUAUAUUUUGAUCUGGAACAUGGUACCAGCUUGUAUAUUUUGGUGUAUCUGGUUAGAAAGGAAUAGGAGAUGUUUUCAGGGGGUGUCAACACCUUUAGGUCUUUUGAAAGCAAGGUGUAUUGCCAAUUUGUUUAGUUGGACCAAAUUGGUCCCUGUAGGUAAUGCAGAGCAACUUUUGGAUUUUACUAGCUCAUUAGUUCUGGCUUAGAUAUUUGUUGUACAGCCAGCCAGUCUUUUUUUGUUAGCUCAAAUGCUAUAUCUUGUAAUUCUUGCAUCUUCUUGAUGCCUUUGAUU